rnacentral:rRNA from 1 species
UACAGAGGUCUCAAGCGUUGUUCGGAUUCAUUGGGCGUAAAGGGUGCGUAGGUGGCAUGGUAAGUCGGAUGUGAAAUCCCGGGGCUCAACCCCGGAACUGCAUUCGAUACUGCUGAGCUAGAGUACUGGAGAGGAGAUUGGAAUUUACGGUGUAGCAGUGAAAUGCGUAGAUAUCGUAAGGAAGACCAGUGGCGAAGGCGGAUCUCUGGACAGUUCCUGACGCUGAGGCACGAAGGCCAGGGGAGCAAACGGG